rnacentral:lncRNA from 1 species
ACCAGGGCAGCAGGCAACACUUGGGAUUUGAAGACACUGGCAAAGAAAAAAGCAGCCCACAAAUAGCCGGUAGAAAGCCCUACAACAUGGCAGCAAACAUUUCCUAAUUUACUGCAAUGCCAGAAGAGGAGCCGGUGUGAGCAGCACAGGAGUCCUCCACACCUCAGCAACUUUCUGCUCUCUGUUCCACCAGAGUGAACCAGGAAUGGAGCAGCUCUUUUGGCAAGUUCUGUGAACCCUUUGGUUUGUCUCUGCUGCAUCUGGGCAGUGAUGGCACAGGAGGUGAGGGAAUCAUUUUGCUUCUCCUGAGGCAGAUUCACUAAAAGGUCCCACCCUAUGGACCAGAGCUGAGGAGCUG